rnacentral:rRNA from 1 species
GAUGAACGCUGGCGGCGUGCCUAAUACAUGCAAGUCGAGCGAACGGACGAGAAGCUUGCUUCUCUGAUGUUAGCGGCGGACGGGUGAGUAACACGUGGAUAACCUACCUAUAAGACUGGGAUAACUUCGGGAAACCGGAGCUAAUACCGGAUAAUAUUUUGAACCGCAUGGUUCAAAAGUGAAAGACGGUCUUGCUGUCACUUAUAGAUGGAUCCGCGCUGCAUUAGCUAGUUGGUAAGGUAACGGCUUACCAAGGCAACGAUGCAUAGCCGACCUGAGAGGGUGAUCGGCCACACUGGAACUGAGACACGGUCCAGACUCCUACGGGAGGCAGCAGUAGGGAAUCUUCCGCAAUGGGCGAAAGCCUGACGGAGCAACGCCGCGUGAGUGAUGAAGGUCUUCGGAUCGUAAAACUCUGUUAUUAGGGAAGAACAUAUGUGUAAGUAACUGUGCACAUCUUGACGGUACCUAAUCAGAAAGCCACGGCUAACUACGUGCCAGCAGCCGCGGUAAUACGUAGGUGGCAAGCGUUAUCCGGAAUUAUUGGGCGUAAAGCGCGCGUAGGCGGUUUUUUAAGUCUGAUGUGAAAGCCCACGGCUCAACCGUGGAGGGUCAUUGGAAACUGGAAAACUUGAGUGCAGAAGAGGAAAGUGGAAUUCCAUGUGUAGCGGUGAAAUGCGCAGAGAUAUGGAGGAACACCAGUGGCGAAGGCGACUUUCUGGUCUGUAACUGACGCUGAUGUGCGAAAGCGUGGGGAUCAAACAGGAUUAGAUACCCUGGUAGUCCACGCCGUAAACGAUGAGUGCUAAGUGUUAGGGGGUUUCCGCCCCUUAGUGCUGCAGCUAACGCAUUAAGCACUCCGCCUGGGGAGUACGACCGCAAGGUUGAAACUCAAAGGAAUUGACGGGGACCCGCACAAGCGGUGGAGCAUGUGGUUUAAUUCGAAGCAACGCGAAGAACCUUACCAAAUCUUGACAUCCUUUGACAACUCUAGAGAUAGAGCCUUCCCCUUCGGGGGGGCAAAGUGACAGGUGGUGCAUGGUUGUCGUCAGCUCGUGUCGUGAGAUGUUGGGUUAAGUCCCGCAACGAGCGCAACCCUUAAGCUUAGUUGCCAUCAUUAAGUUGGGCACUCUAAGUUGACUGCCGGUGACAAACCGGAGGAAGGUGGGGAUGACGUCAAAUCAUCAUGCCCCUUAUGAUUUGGGCUACACACGUGCUACAAUGGACAAUACAAAGGGCAGCGAAACCGCGAGGUCAAGCAAAUCCCAUAAAGUUGUUCUCAGUUCGGAUUGUAGUCUGCAACUCGACUACAUGAAGCUGGAAUCGCUAGUAAUCGUAGAUCAGCAUGCUACGGUGAGUACGUUCCCGGGUCU